GUUGCUAUGCUUGCCAGCCUAUGGUCUAAACUACAUCUGCUCCUGCUUCAGCUGGCUGCCUGGUGACUCUGACAGUCUGUCCUUCUUAAACAAGAGGCUUUUAUUAGUAAAAACAGCUAUAACUAAAGGCAAAAAAGGGGCUUUCUUUGGUUACUAGGGAGCACACCCUAUCUGGAACCUUGUACAGCACCACAUAGCUAGUGGCUGAAUAACAUGCUGUGAUUAAACAUAUCACAGUACUGUUGAGCAACAGAUACCUUACCCAGCAAAGCAUCCUUGAGGAAGAGCCACAGAUAAGAAAGUAUCUGGAAGACUCAACAAGUUAUCUGCCUUGACCUUUGGAGAGGCUUAAAGGGAAGUGUUGUCACUCUGAGGAGAUGUAGAGGUCAUACUAGGCAUAGAGCCAAUCUGCAACUUUUUUUAGUGUGUCAGAGUCAGAGCAAAGUGAAGACAGACUAGACUUAAUCUUUUAACCUAACCUGUCAAAACUGCAUCAAGUCAGCACUGCCAAAUCUACAGCCACCUCAUAACUCAAAAAGAGUCCCCAGAGGAAUAAGAUGACAUAUGGAAAGUGUUCUUUUAAGGACAUUCUGAAGCCAAGAGAGAACCCAUUCUGCUGGAAGAGCAGGAGUGGCACCCCAGAGAUAGAAGAGGAAGAAACCAAGUGCAUCUGGAGGACCUGCUUGUUGGCAUUGACAGAAGGAGUCAGGAAUAGUCAGAUUUUCUUAGGGCAAGAGAAGAAUGGGCUCUUAGGAUAAGACAUUCCUGCAAAUGGGGAGACAGCACUGGCAAUAGGAGCACAGAAAGAAUGGGAUCAUGCACUCAUGCAGUCCCUAGUCCAACUGGUAGCAGAAUGCUUUUGGGCCUCACCCAUUGCGGUGGCAGCUGCUUUUCUAGGGGAACAGUUACCACUUUCUCCUCCUUCUCCAACUAUUGCCCAGGCUGCUGCUAAAGUGUGAAUCCCAGCUCCUCUCCUGCCAGGGAUGAGCAUGCAGGCUGAUCAACACCACAUACUUCUCAGUCAGCUGAAAACCCUCUUGGGGGAACUCCCAAAGCAUUCAGGAAGUGAAUGAUGAACUUAUAUAUAAUAAUAAUAAUAAUAAUUAAUGGAGAUAUCCCAUCUCCUAGAACUGGAAGGGA